UCCAGACAGACACACAAACAGGUUCAGGUGUGUUUCAAUGUCCCAGACAGCCUUUUAUCUCCCUCUACAUGUCCCUGUAUGGGAUCAUACCGGUCUUCUUGGCACUGAGCUUAUGGUGUAACUGGUGCAACAGUGUCUGUUGGUCUGUAACCACCAUCUUCUUCUGUUGCUGGUUUAUUGCUGGUAGUAUUGUCAUCUACUCCAUUUAUGAACCCAAGUACGACAAGACUACAGCGCAGCCUGAUCUCUACUGCAACAAGACACUCUACCUGUUCGCAUUUUGGUUCACCAACAUGACAUACAUACUGUUAGCACUGCUCUUUUUAUCCUAUUGCUGUUGUAGACAACGAGGUGAUGGUGAUAAUGAGACUCAAACACUUGUGCGGUAAUAAAUAGAGACAAAGCAAACUUAAUUAAAAAGAUAAUCAUACACUGUCAGUAAAUGAGGGCAAAUAAUGCAUUUAAAGGCAGUUUGCCUGUUUGUCUUAUGUAGAUAUAAUCAAAUGUUCUAAUGAGCAAUGUACAUGUUUGAUCUUUUAUCAGAGAAGAAUGACAAUUUAUAUUUUAAGUAAUUAAUGUUGGAGGUUUACUCUUUUUAAAUACUUUUGCAGCAGUACUCUGUUACGUAAUGACAUCCUUAGAUAUGAAUAAUAUCCUUUUUUUUCAUCCCAUUGAUUCUCUAAUAGGUCGGUUUUAUGAGCUUGUGAGCGCAGAAAUACCAAAUGUGUGAGGCUGAAUACUGAGGAAACAUCAUAGAAAUGCUUAGAGAAUAUAUCUGUUGAUCCAGUAACAAAAUCAGAGAAAGCCUGGAGUCUUGAGUGAAAUGAUCAUCAAUCAUAAGUAAUACAUGUACAUAGAAAUGUCAAUGUAAAGUGUACGUUUACGUUUUUCCAGGAAGAUCAGAAAUAGGUCCACGGAUUUAUUAAAAUGUACAAACAUACAAGGAAACAGACAGUAUCCAAGGCAAGAAAGUUUUUAUAGUUCUAACAAGCUUGAAGGCCAAUAUUUGGUAUGAUAACCUUUAUUCCUCAACACGGGCUUUCUUUAAGUAGUCUUCAGGAAUAGUUCUCCAGGCUUCUUCAAGGGCAUUCAAAGCUGCCCUUUGUUCUUUUUUUCUGUCAAGAUGAUUGUAUCCCCCUCAUUGGUUCAAAAAUACCUUUACGAAAAAUAUAUUUUGAUCAAUCUCAACAGUCAGAGAAUCUACAGUCUGUAAUGAUUAUUAAUCAUUGGUUACAGAUGUAACCCUUCAUUGGUGCAAGGAUUCCAUUUUAUGUCUGUCAAAUUGUUUUAUCUUUGGUAUUUUCAAUAGAUUCAACAGACAAAAUGUAAAUAAUUUAUGUGUUUGUGUGGCUGGCUUUGGGUUUUUUGUUAUGCAUAGACACAACACAGCCUUUUUCAUGCUUGAAUGACUCACAGAUCAGCGUUAAGUUGCUUAAUAAACAACAAAAAAACCAUCUCUAAAUGUAAAAGGAAUGAAAAUAAAUGAAAAAGCAGCCAAUAUCCAAAGUCUGACUGCUUAGAAAUACAUCAUAAAGAAACAAGGCGUGGCUAAAGACCUUUACACAGUGCUGAAUUUGACGUAAUUUAAUGUAUUAUGUCUAUGUUAAUGUUACAAAAUGCAUGCUGUCCUAAAAUUAACAUGAACAAAAUAUUAUUUUUAAAAAUGACUGUCCUUAUCUGACACUAUCUUCUCUAAUCCUGGUCAGCUGUUAAAAGAAUGAUACUGUCAUAGUAUUUUUCACACUCAACAAUGAAUUAAAAAAAGAUUCAUGGUGGGAACUAAAACCCGGAAUAUAUUUUAGAAAAGCAGGCAAACCUCGUCCUGUGGAGAAAUACGACAUAAAAAUGUUUAUGUAGCGAGGUCUUAGUGGGUUAGGACAAAUGAGAGGAAGUGUUCCUCUCCUGAGGUUUUGCUGUGACAGACACGCUGUCAGUGAUGUUUUUCUCUGGUCUGUGAAUGCAAAAGAGCUCCUUAGAAGUAAAUGUAAAAAGAAUUUUAUGUAACGUUACAUAC
ensembl:lncRNA